rnacentral:rRNA from 1 species
AUUGAACGCUGGCGGCAGGCCUAACACAUGCAAGUCGAGCGGAAACGAAGGGAGCUUGCUCCCAGGCGUCGAGCGGCGGACGGGUGAGUAACACGUGAGAAUCUGCCCAUUAGUGGGGGACAACUCGGGGAAACUCGAGCUAAUACCGCAUAAUCCCUACGGGGGAGAGCAGGGGACCUUUUGGCCUUGCGCGGAUGGAUGAGCUCACGUUGGAUUAGCUUGUUGGUGAGGUAAAGGCCCACCAAGGCGACGAUCCGUAGCUGGUCUGAGAGGGUGAUCAGCCACACUGGGACUGAGACACGGCCCAGGCUCCGACGGGAGGCAGCAGUGGGGGAUCUUGGACAAUGGGGGCAACCCUGAUCCAGCCAUGCCGCGUGUGUGAAGAAGGCCUUCGGGUUGUAAAGCACUUUCGGCAGGGAGGAAGGCUUUGGCCGAAUAGGUUGAAGUACUUGACGUUACCUGCAGAAGAAGCACCGGCUAAUUUCGUGCCAGCCGCCGCCGUAA